AGCGGCAAAAUAAAUGAAUAAAAUUGUAUACACAAAGUGAGCUGCGGCACCAGAAGCAGCAGCAGAAUGUUGUGAAGUUGCGGCGCAAAAAGAAAGCCCGCGAAUAAAACGAGAAGAAAAAAAAAAAGAAGUGAAUUUAGGGCUGCAACUAGGAAAGUGCGUCGUUUUAUUUUGAAAUCGAUACGAAAAUAAAAAUACACAAAAAGUGGGCCUCGUUCUACAUACAAACAAAUAUACCUACGAAUGUUGUCAUACAUAUGCAUUAAUGUGCAUGUAUAUUUGCUGGCGUGUGAAUGUGUGUGUGCGUGUGCAAAGUGCAACAUAAACAAACGAAAAUGUUUAACAAGAAUGCAAAAAAGGUUCGCAAAAUGCAUUAUUAAAGUCACGUGGAAUAUCAUAAAAAGUGUAAAAUGUGACACUGCAAAGGAAUCCAAAUUGAAAGAGAAACUGACAACAACAACAACUGAAACAACUGCAACAACAACUGCAACAACAGCAACGCCACAGCAUCAAAUGCAACGCAGAGAGCAAAGAGCAACAAUAAACAAAACAA